UACGAAGGGUGCAAGCGUUACUCGGAAUUACUGGGCGUAAAGCGUGCGUAGGUGGUUUGUUAAGUCUGAUGUGAAAGCCCUGGGCUCAACCUGGGAAUUGCAUUGGAUACUGGCAGGCUAGAGUGCGGUAGAGGGUAGUGGAAUUCCCGGUGUAGCAGUGAAAUGCGUAGAUAUCGGGAGGAACACCUGUGGCGAAAGCGGCUCUCUGGACCACAACUGACGCUGAGGCGCGAAAGCUAGGGGAGCAAACAGG
rnacentral:rRNA from 1 species